rnacentral:rRNA from 1 species
GAUGAACGCUGGCGGCGUGCCUAAUACAUGCAAGUCGAGCGAACAGACGAGGAGCUUGCUCCUCUGACGUUAGCGGCGGACGGGUGAGUAACACGUGGAUAACCUACCUAUAAGACUGGGAUAACUUCGGGAAACCGGAGCUAAUACCGGAUAAUAUAUUGAACCGCAUGGUUCAAUAGUGAAAGACGGUUUUGCUGUCACUUAUAGAUGGAUCCGCGCCGCAUUAGCUAGUUGGUAAGGUAACGGCUUACCAAGGCAACGAUGCGUAGCCGACCUGAAAGGGUGAGCGGACACACUGGAACUGAGACACGGUCCAGACUCCUACGGGAGGCAGCAGUAGGGAAUCUUCCGCAAUGGGCGAAAGCCUGACGGAGCAACGCCGCGUGAGUGAUGAAGGUCUUCGGAUCGUAAAACUCUGUUAUUAGGGAAGAACAAAUGUGUAAGUAACUAUGCACGUCUUGACGGUACCUAAUCAGAAAGCCACGGCUAACUACGUG